rnacentral:rRNA from 1 species
AUGCAAGUCGAGGGGUAUAGUUCUUCGGAGCUAGAGACCGGCGCACGGGUGCUUAACGCGUAUGCAAUCUACCUUUUACAGAGGGAUAGCCCAGAGAAAUUUGGAUUAAUACCUCAUAGCAUAGCAGUAUCGCAUGAUACCACUAUUAAAGUUCCAACGGUAAAAGAUGAGCAUGCGUCCCAUUAGCUAGAUGGUAAGGUAACGGCUUACCAUGGCUACGAUGGGUAGGGGUCCUGAGAGGGAGAUCCCCCACACUGGUACUGAGACACGGACCAGACUCCUACGGGAGGCAGCAGUGAGGAAUAUUGGUCAAUGGGCGCAAGCCUGAACCAGCCAUGCCGCGUGCAGGAAGACGGUCCUAUGGAUUGUAAACUGCUUUUGCACAGGAAGAAACACUCCCUCGUGAGGGAGCUUGACGGUACUGUGAGAAUAAGGAUCGGCUAACUCCGUGCCAGCAGCCGCGGUAAUACGGAGGAUCCAAGCGUUAUCCGGAAUCAUUGGGUUUAAAGGGUCCGUAGGCGGUUUAGUAAGUCAGUGGUGAAAGCCCAUCGCUCAACGGUGGAACGGCCAUUGAUACUGCUAGACUUGAAUUAUAAGGAAGUAACUAGAAUAUGUAGUGUAGCGGUGAAAUGCUUAGAGAUUACAUGGAAUACCAAUUGCGAAGGCAGGUUACUACUUAUGGAUUGACGCUGAUGGACGAAAGCGUGGGUAGCGAACAGGAUUAGAUACCCUGGUAGUCCACGCCGUAAACGAUGGAUACUAGCUGUUGGGGGCAACUUCAGUGGCUAAGCGAAAGUGAUAAGUAUCCCACCUGGGGAGUACGUUCGCAAGAAUGAAACUCAAAGGAAUUGACGGGGGCCCGCACAAGCGGUGGAGCAUGUGGUUUAAUUCGAUGAUACGCGAGGAACCUUACCAAGGCUUAAAUGUAGUUUGACCGAACU